GCGUUAUUCGGAAUUAUUGGGCGUAAAGCGUCUGUAGGUGGUAAGGAAAGUGUAAUGUUAAAGAUCAGGGCUCAACCCUGGGAAAGCAUUGCAAACUAUCUUACUUGAGUUCGGUAGGGGCAGAGAGAAUUCCCAGUGUAGCGGUGAAAUGCGUAGAUAUUGGGAGGAAGACCAGUGGCGAAGGCGUUCUGCUGGGCCGUAACUGACACUCAGAGACGAAAGCUAAGGUAGCAAAUAGGAUUAGAUACCCUAGUAGUCUUAGCUGUAAACGAUGCACACUAUGUUUUGCAAUUUGCAGAGCAAUAGCUAACGCGUUAAGUGUGCCGCCUGGGGAGUACAUUCGCAAGGAUGAAACUCAAAGGAAUUGACGGGGACCCGCACAAGCGGUGGAGCAUGUGGUUUAAUUCGAUGCAACGCGAAGAACCUUACCAAGAAUUGACAUGCUGCGAACGUUUACGAAAGUAAAAAGUCUAUUAACUUAGUUAAUAGCGCAGACACAGGUGGUGCAUGGUUGUCGUCAGCUCGUGCCGUGAGGUGUUAGGUUAAGUCCUGCAACGAGCGCAACCCUUGUCUUUAGUUAUAUUCUAGAGAGACUGCCGGUGAUAAACCGGAGGAAGGUGAGGAUGACGUCAAAUCAGCAUGCCCCUUACAUCUUGGGCGACUCACGUGCUACAAUGGUCGGGACAAAGAGAUGCUACCCUGCGAAGGCAAGCUAACCUCAAAAACCCGAUCUCAGUUCGGAUUGCAGGCUGCAACUCGC
rnacentral:rRNA from 1 species